CCCCACUCCCACUUCCCUCUCCUCUCUCUCUCUCUCUCUCUUCCCUCAUCCUUUCCUCUCUCUCUCUAAAAGGCUCUUUUCUCUCUCUAGCCAUGGCGGCUCCCAAGCUCGCGCGCGUCCCCAGCUUCCGCGACAGGCUCGAGGACACCCUCACCGUCCACCGCAACGAGCUCGUCUCCCUCUUAUCCAGGUACAUGGGGGAGGGGAAGGGGAUCCUCCAACCCCACCACCUCCUCGACGCCCUCGCCACCAUCGAAGACAGCACCAAGCUCUCCGAGGGCCCCUUCUUCGAGUUCCUCAAAUCCGCUCAGGAAGCUAUAGUUCUACCCCCCUUUGUGGCCAUAGCCGUGCGGCCGAGGCCUGGCGUGUGGGAGUUUGUGCGGGUGAACGUCUACGAGCUCACCGUCGAUCAGUUGAGCGUGUCAGAGUACCUCCGAUUCAAAGAAGAGCUCGCCGAUGGCCAGGUCACUAAUCAAUUUGUGCUCGAACUCGAUUUGGAGCCCUUUAAUGCGUCUUUCCCACGACCGAGUCGAUCGUCGUCGAUCGGGAACGGUGUUCUGUUCCUCAACCGCCACCUUUCUUCGAUAAUGUUUCGAAACAGGGAUUCCUUGGAGCCCCUCCUCAACUUCCUACGUGCACACAAGUACAAGGGACAUGUGAUGAUGCUGAAUGAUAGAGUACAGAGCUUGUCCAGGCUUCAAUCUACCUUGGCAAAGGCUGAGGAGUAUUUGUCUAAGCUCCCGCCAGAGACGCCAUACGCACAAUUUGCAUAUCAGUUCCAAGAGAUGGGCUUGGAAAAAGGUUGGGGUGAUACAGCUCAACGUGUGUUGGAGAUGAUUCAUCUUCUACUGGACAUUCUUCAAGCCCCUGAUCCCUCUACUUUGGAGACAUUCUUGGGGAGGAUCCCGAUGGUGUUCAAUGUCGUUAUUGUUUCUCCACAUGGGUACUUUGGCCAAGCUAAUGUGCUUGGAAUGCCGGACACUGGAGGGCAGGUUGUCUAUAUAUUGGAUCAAGUUCGUGCUCUAGAGAAUGAGAUGCUUGUAAGGAUCAAAAAGCAGGGGCUUGAUGUUGAUCCCAAGAUUCUUAUAGUGACUAGAUUAAUACCGGACGCGAAAGGGACAACAUGCAAUCAACGGCUUGAACGAAUCAUUGGCACGCAGCAUACCUUCAUCUUGCGUGUGCCUUUUAGAAGUGAGAAAGGAAUUCUUAAGAAAUGGAUUUCAAGAUUUGAUGUCUGGCCUUAUUUGGAGACCUUUGCAAUGGAUGCAGCUAGUGAGAUUGCCGCGGAAUUACAGGGCACUCCUGAUCUAAUUAUUGGAAACUACAGUGAUGGAAAUCUUGUUGCCUCUUUGCUUUCUUACAAACUAGGAAUUACUCAGUGCAAUAUAGCUCAUGCUCUCGAGAAAACGAAGUAUCCGGAGUCAGAUAUAUACUGGAAGAACUUUGAAGAAAAAUACCAUUUCUCAUGCCAGUUCACUGCAGAUCUAAUUGCAAUGAACAAUGCAGAUUUUAUAAUCACUAGCACCUACCAAGAAAUUGCUGGAAGCAAAAACACGGUUGGACAGUAUGAGAGCCAUACUGCUUUUACUCUCCCUGGUCUAUAUCGUGUUGUCCAUGGCAUUGAUGUUUUCGACCCUAAGUUCAAUAUUGUCUCUCCUGGAGCAGAUAUGUCUAUUUAUUUUCCUUACUCAGAAAAGGAGAAGAGGCUUACUUCACUUCAUGGUUCAAUUGAGAAGCUGCUGUAUGAUCCAGAGCAAAAUGACGUGCACAUUGGUUGGUUGGAUGACCGGUCUAAGCCCAUCAUCUUCUCCAUGGCCAGGCUUGACCGCGUGAAAAACAUAACUGGACUGGUUGAAUUGUAUGGUAAAUGCGCCAAACUGCGUGAAACGGUUAACCUAGUUGUAGUUGCUGGUUACCAUGAUGUGAAGAAAUCUAAAGAUAGGGAGGAAAUCCAAGAAAUCGAGAAAAUGCACGAACUUAUAAAGACAUACGAUUUGUUCGGCCAAUUUCGGUGGAUCUCUGCCCAGACAAACAAGGCAAGAAACGGUGAGCUUUAUCGAUACAUAGCCGAUACUGGAGGUGCUUUUGUGCAGCCUGCGUUAUAUGAGGCCUUUGGACUUACUGUGGUGGAGGCUAUGACUUGUGGUCUUCCAACAUUUGCCACUUGCCAUGGAGGCCCUGCGGAGAUUAUUGAGCAUGGAGUAUCGGGUUUUCAUAUCGACCCGUAUCAUCCUGACCAGGCUGCUGCCGUCAUGGUUGAGUUCUUUGAACAGAGCAAGAAAGACCCUAGCAAUUGGAUUAAGAUAUCUGAAGGUGGUCUCAAAAGAAUCUAUGAAAGGUAUACAUGGAAGAUCUAUUCUGAAAGGUUAAUGACACUCGCUGGGGUUUACGGCUUCUGGAAGUAUGUGUCGAAGCUUGAAAGGCGUGAGACUCGGCGCUAUCUCGAGAUGUUCUACAUAUUAAAGUUCCGGGAACUGGUACGUCCGACCAGUUCCUUUAUAUUCAGCUAGAAAUCAGCUUUUGUGAAGAAAGGUAAAUUGACGAAUAAGUGUCUUGUUUUUAAAACGUCAACAAAAUUCUUGCGCAAUUUUUGGUGAAAUCUGUUCCGCUCGCAGUUGACGAUGCACACUAACCUUGGAGAGUUCUAAAUAACAUCUGCGGAUUUGUAUAUAAAUUGUCCUAAAAUGCAGAUAAUAACACGAAGAGUUGUGUCAACGUCUCUUCAGUAAAACAUGCUAUUAUAAUGCCUAUCGGCAAACCCUGUUAGUUACAGCUUGUUUAAUCUCUUUUUUAUGCUUCCACGUAUGCCUCAAAUAAGAUUGAUGACUUCAUGUAUCUGCAUGUGUUGUAGGUUUGAUGCAUGCAUUGAGGUCUUAUUUGUAUUGUAUGUUACAGAAGAAUCAAACAUGGUAUAUUAUUUGUUAAAUCAAUGAGUGAUCACUUUGUUGGAUGGAUCA